rnacentral:rRNA from 1 species
UACAGAGGGUGCGAGCGUUGUCCGGAAUCACUGGGCGUAAAGGGCGCGUAGGCGGUCCGGUAAGCGCGUGGUGAAAGCUCGGGGCCCAACCCCGAGUCGGCCGUGCGAACUGCGGGACUGGAGCAGAUCAGAGGCAGGCGGAAUUCCGGGUGUAGCGGUGGAAUGCGUAGAGAUCCGGAAGAACACCGGUGGCGAAGGCGGCCUGCUGGGAUCUUGCUGACGCUGAGGCGCGACAGCGUGGGGAGCAAACAGG